rnacentral:misc_RNA from 1 species
AUCAAACCGUGCCAACUGCAAGUGACAUUUGGAUCGACCGAUCCAGCCUCUGCUGCCGAACGCACCUUGUUAGCCAAAAGGAAGGACGCGGGAUUCUGCGGUCCUGAAUCUAUGGAACAAAGAGUGACAUCCCCUUGACGAGUUAAGAAAAACGAGAUCGGUGUGGUCGCAGUGAUCAAUUAUGGCCGGGGAACGUGACUGCGGAGUCUUCGGAUUCUACCCCCGAUGGCUCAGGGGGAAAGCGAACUUCAAGUCCUUCAUGGCCGUCUAUUCGCUUCUUGGCACCGUGCAAGCGAUGUCCUUCAUCUACAUCACAGUCACUCUAACCACCCUUGAGAAAAGGUUCAAAAUUCCCAGUCGCACUACAGGUAUCAUGCUCUCCGGAAACGAGGUAUCCCAGGUCCUCUCCAUCGUCCUGAUCUACUACGGAGGGUCCGGCCAUCGUCCAAGGUGGAUAGCAGUCGGUGUCGCCCUCAGCGCGUUGUCCUGCUUGGUCCUGGCUCUACCGCACUUCAUAUAUGGGCCGGGAAAGGACGCGCUGGCUCUGACCAAGGAGUACCUGGACCACAAGGUGCUGAACACCUCCUCAAAUCCCACGGAGGUGUUCGUUUGCUCGAGGACGACGGGGACGGAAAUCUGCGAUGAGGACUCUCUCUUGGACGUCAGCCUGCUGCCCAGGGUCCUGAUCUUCCUGUCUCAGUUCAUCCUUGGCAUCGGCACCACGCUCUAUUACGGCCUGGGUCAGACCUACAUGGACGACAAUACGAAGAAGAAGAACACUCCGAUGCUACUGGGAUUAGCGUUUGGUUUGAGAACGCUGGGGCCGGUAGCCGGGUUCUUGCUUAGCUAUCUUUGCCUGAGACUGUACAUUGACCCAUCCCUGCACCCUGUUAUAACACCAAGCGAUCCAAGAUGGUUAGGAGCUUGGUGGCUGGGUUGGAUCAUCCUCGGCGUCACGAUGGGAACUUUCGCCAUUCUGGUAGCGCUCUUCCCCAAGGAACUGCCAAAGCGGGAAGAAAAAGUUUCCACCAAGGAUGGCGAAAUUCCGCUGAAACUGGAUUUGUCAAGCGAUAUCAAAGCUCCGCCACAGCCGCAAGAUGCGAAUAAACCCGAAGAGUGCAAGCCGGAUCGAGUUGUCGCGAUGAAAAAUUUUCCCAAGGCCUUGAAGAGACUGCUUACGAACAAACUUGUAUUUUUCAACAAUAUCAGCGCGGUCUUUUACAUUCUUGGAGCAUCGGGUUACAUCACCUUUUACUCUAAAUACAUGGAGAUUCAGUAUGGAACAUCCGCUGGCGGUGGCACAGUUCUUGCAGGACCAUUAUCUUUGUGCGGAAUGGUGAUAGGUUUCGUGGGCUCGGGAAUAGUGAUCAGUAAGUACAAGCCAGGUCCCAGGCUCCUUCUCGGCUGGAACGUGAUAGUGGGUUGUUGCUACCUGGCCGGAAUGGUCACAUACUCCUUCCUGGGGUGUCCCGACUCUGGCGUACAAGGCGUAGACAUGGAAACCUCGACGUUGAACCUGACUGCACCAUGCAACCAGGACUGCACCUGCGAAGGUAUCAAGUACUCCCCGGUCUGUCAUGUACCUAGCGGAACAACCUUCUUCUCCGCGUGUCACGCCGGGUGCAAGACGAUGCUGAACAAAAAUGAGUUCGGUGAUUGUUCAUGCGCAAUUGGAUUAGGCAGUUUGGAAUACGAGGGCCAAACUCCUUCAGCUCCCACGCCAGUUCUGCCGGAAAGCCAAGCACAGUCGAAUCAGUCGUCCUCGACGAUUGAUACCGACAAAGUGGUCAAGGCUGGACCUUGUCCGAGAAAUUGUGACGGGCCAUACACGUGGUUCGUUGUGAUAACUUGCCUGAUGCAGGUAAUCGGCUGCUCGGGCAAGAUAGGGAAUGUCCUGGUGAAUUACAGGGCUGUGGAGAAGGAGGACAAGAGCAUCGCCCAGGGAUUCUCCCUCAUGCUUAUAUCCCUCUUCGCUCUUAUACCCGGGCCCAUUAUAUACGGCACGGUUAUCGACUCGACGUGUCUUAUUUGGAAUGAUUCCUGCGGGGAAAGGGGGAACUGCUGGUUCUAUCACAAGGACGACUUCCGUUACCUGUUGAACGUCUCCGCGAUUGGCUUCAUCGUGAUAGGCAUCGCCUUCGACAGCGCCGUUUGGUAUCUGGCCAAAAAUCUAGAUUUGUACGGGUCGGAUGAGGUGGACCAGCGGCGGGAGUUCGUCAAGGGUGAAAGUCCUGCGCUACCGGUCGGUAAGAGCGACGCCGAUAGGAACCAAACGGUUAGUUCAAAUCAGAACUCGGGACAAAACGUGACGUAAACACUGCAUUUCUCGAUUCGAGCAGUGACUGAGCAAAUUACGGUAAAUAAAUUACACUGCACUACUAACAAAAAUGAUCGCUGAGGUUUCGAGGUCACUCGUUGCAGGCCGACUGCAGGUGACGUACGUCGCGGUGCACUCUCAUUAUAGGUAACGAAGCUUACACGAAUAUUAUAGGUACUGUAUAAUAUGUGAAGGAGACACACAAUCUUUUCGGCAGAGCGUCUUUC